rnacentral:rRNA from 1 species
GACGAACGCUGGCGGCGUGCCUAAUACAUGCAAGUUGAGCGCUGAAGGUUGGUACUUGUACCAACUGGAUGAGCAGCGAACGGGUGAGUAACGCGUGGGGAAUCUGCCUUUGAGCGGGGGACAACAUUUGGAAACGAAUGCUAAUACCGCAUAACAACUUUAAACACAAGUUUUAAGUUUGAAAGAUGCAAUUGCAUCACUCAAAGAUGAUCCCGCGUUGUAUUAGCUAGUUGGUGAGGUAAAGGCUCACCAAGGCGAUGAUACAUAGCCGACCUGAGAGGGAGAUCGGCCACAUUGGGACUGAGACACGGCCCAAACUCCUACGGGAGGCAGCAGUAGGGAAUCUUCGGCAAUGGACGAAAGUCUGACCGAGCAACGCCGCGUGAGUGAAGAAGGUUUUCGGAUCGUAAAACUCUGUUGGUAGAGAAGAACGUUGGUGAGAGUGGAAAGCUCAUCAAGUGACGGUAACUACCCAGAAAGGGACGGCUAACUACGUG